GGGGCGACGGCCAGAAGUCCAGGGCUAGGAGCCUCAGCCGGCGGACGCCAGGAAACAGGAUUUCAGUUACCAUAAUAAUAUUGGAUCUUUGCGCUUUCCCACAGUUAGAUCAUCAGCAAAUGUCACUUGGAUCCCUAGCUAAAUUGUUCUUCCCAGAAAAUAGUUAUCUCCACUAUGGAAAGUAUUUUAUCAGAAGAAUUCGUAGAAGUAGAAUCUGUUUGUCUUCAGUUAAACAAAAGAAGAACCUCAUUGCUUUCCAACUGGGCCCCGGCCAUUUUCCAGUUGAAACAUCAAAUAUUUUAUUUGUGUCUUUCACUGCCAAUUAAAGGGCAACAGAAAUGGUACAGGCUCCCUCUGCAGUGGAAUUACCCUUAUGUCUUUUCUGUCUAUGCUGAUCCACCUGAUCUUGAACUGGUGCUAUUCCAUGGGGAAAAUUGGAACAUGGGGCAAUUAACACUUUCUCCACUUUAUCCCAUCAACAGGAAAUUGAAAUAUAACCAACUAACUCAGGAGACAUCAUGGAAGAUGUCACACAGUGAAUGAUGAUGAAGCAGAAUUUUUAAAAUGUGUAGGAUUACGAGAAGUGGGGUCAUUUUUCUUUGUGUAUGGUAUUGCUGAUGCAGUUUAAUGCUCCAUUACUUCUAAAUUUUCAUCAUAAGCUAGAUUUUCCAGUUGUGGUUUCUAUAAAGAAAAACAAACAUUCUGAAGACAGUUUUUCCAGAUUUAUUCCAGAUAUCGAUGAUUAACUUUUGAAGCUCCUCUGUUGAUUUGAACAUCCGCUGAAGCUUAUUUUUCACCUCAGAAUAGCAUCAACAUUAUUUGAAAUUCAAUUGUACUUUCUCGUUACAUUAAUAAAUCAUGGAAGUUGAGAAAA
ensembl:lncRNA LINC00879 long intergenic non-protein coding RNA 879